GGCUGUCCAGGUGCAUGGGUAUAUUUGGGGCUAGUACUUAUGGGAAGUAUCUGAAGGUGUCUUUUAUGACCAUAACAUGAGAAGAAGCUCAGAUCCAGGCCUCCUCUUUCUCUAGAGAACUUUACCCUGGGAAGAACAAGUCCAGUGGAGAUGAGCCUAACCUGGGUGACAGCUGGAACUCUCAGAGCCAAGGAGUGACACCCAGAAUGGAAGCCUCAUGCUAAGGAGGGUGACACCAACAUAGGUUCAGCUCUCCUGGCAACCCACCCGACAGGGAUCAGAUGGGGAAGAGAUGGGGCAGUCUACUGAAGACUCAGAAGCCUUGCCACAGAGACUAAAUCCAAUACAUCUGUCUACACUGGGUGACUCACUCCACAAACAAGAUGUCAAUGUGACCCAGAUAAGAGGGCUAGGCCAUAUGGAAGACAAAGACGACUAUCCCGAAGCCAUCAGAGUCAUGAGUGAAGGGGCAUGAGGAUGGCAGUGGGUGGACCAAGAAGUGCUGGGAGACAAAAGCAGAAGCACAGCAGGAAAGCACCAGGGCAGAGGCGACCUCGGGAUGACUGUGGAAUCUCUAAACCUAAAGGUAACAGGACUCUACAGUAUUUACCACCACGGGGUUUUCCAGCCGGUGGGAUCUCUAAACUGCAGGGUAACAGGACUCUGCAGUAUUUACCACCACGGGGUCUUCCAGCCGGUACACCCACUGGUCCUCCACGAGAACAUCGGGGUUCCUAGUCAACUAUGCACACAUGAACCUCAAGGGUGCCUUGACAAGCAGCAAGCUGACUCUUUGGGGGCAUACUUCAAAAGUAAACAGAAUACGGAGAGACCUCAAAAAGGCAAUCCUCAUUUCGAGGAAGACCCGAGAAGCCAGGCUGUUUUUAAGUGUCUGUACAACUUUGGCGGGCCUGAAGUCAUCCCCUUCUGCCUCUUCAUGUUCUGUAUUUCCUAGACUCAGUGUAACACACCCACCAUCCAGGGUAGGAGACCACUGGCUGUUCAUUCCGGAAGUCUAGUACCACCUGCUGCCUUGGGGCCAAAUGAGGCUGGGGAGGGGUGUUGAAGAAGGCACUAAGGGAUGGAACGGAACAUCCUGUAUCUCCGCUGUUUACAGCAUACAUUCCAUUCAAAUCCCGGGUCUGCCCCAAGCACCCCUGAUCAAGUUCACCCCUAUUGUGCCUGCUCCUCCACUGGUGUAACAGCAGCAACACAAUACUGGCAGAGCUCCGAACAAAGCAUUUGGCCAGGGACUGCUAAAUACAUUCAUUAAGUAUGCUGAGAACAUCAAGUCCGGACAAACGACUUCCCACUCAAUGGUCAGGGAUAUGCUGUGUCUCCUCUUCCAGCCCCUGUGUCUAUAGCUACAAACAAUGGACUAUCUCCUUUCAAAAUCAAAAAAUUGGUAUUAAAUAAUCCAUCUGAGAGCA